rnacentral:rRNA from 1 species
AACGAACGCUGGCGGCAGGCCUAACACAUGCAAGUCGAGCGCGCCCUUCGGGGUGAGCGGCGGACGGGUGAGUAACGCGUGGGAACGUGCCCUUUUCUACGGAAUAGCCUCGGGAAACUGAGAGUAAUACCGUAUACGCCCUUUGGGGGAAAGAUUUAUCGGAAAAGGAUCGGCCCGCGUUGGAUUAGGUAGUUGGUGGGGUAAUGGCCUACCAAGCCGACGAUCCAUAGCUGGUUUGAGAGGAUGAUCAGCCACACUGGGACUGAGACACGGCCCAGACUCCUACGGGAGGCAGCAGUGGGGAAUCUUAGACAAUGGGGGCAACCCUGAUCUAGCCAUGCCGCGUGAGUGAUGAAGGCCUUAGGGCUGUAAAGCUCUUUCAGCGGGGAAGAUAAUGACGGUACCAGCAGAAGAAGCCCCGGCUAACUCCGU